UACGGAGGAUGCGAGCGUUAUCCGGAUUUAUUGGGUUUAAAGGGUGCGUAGGCGGACUGUCAAGUCAGCGGUAAAAUUGAGAGGCUCAACCUCUUCCCGCCGUUGAAACUGGUGGUCUUGAGUGGAUGAGAAGUACGCGGAAUGCGUGGUGUAGCGGUGAAAUGCAUAGAUAUCACGCAGAACUCCGAUUGCGAAGGCAGCGUACCGGCAUCCAACUGACGCUGAGGCACGAAAGCGUGGGGAGCGAACAGG
rnacentral:rRNA from 1 species